rnacentral:rRNA from 1 species
CGGUCUAGAGAAGGUAUAGAGAGCGGCGGACGGGUGAGUAACGCGUAGGCAACCUGCCCCAUACAGAGGGAUAGCCUCGGGAAACCGGGAUUAAAACCUCAUAACACGAGAGUUUCACAUGUUACUCUCGUCAAAGAUUUAUCGGUAUGGGAUGGGCCUGCGUCUGAUUAGCUGGUUGGUGAGGUAACGGCUCACCAAGGCAACGAUCAGUAGCCGACCUGAGAGGGUAAUCGGCCACAUUGGAACUGAGACACGGUCCAAACUCC